GGCUGCGCUCCACUCAGUGCUCAGAAGAGCCGCUGCAGCGCCGCCGCCGCCACCUGUCCAGGCACGGCGAGCCCCCGGUCACCGCCAUCCCCGCCGCCGGUGGGCUCCUCUCCAGCGGCCCCUGCCCUGCUCGCUCUUCUCCAACCAGAGCCCGGGCUGGCGUCGCCCCUUCCCCUCCCCCCCCGGAGAGAGAGAGCGAGCGAGCGAGAGAGAGCUGGGCGAGGGUCUAAGGGAGCCCUAAGCGACGGGCCAAGCGACGCUCCCGCCGGUGUCCUGGCCCCAGGAACAGUAGCGAAGGACAAGUGAGACCCCGGAAGUGCUGUGGGCCGACGGCCAAGACUACGAUGCCUGGAGGGAUGGAAAUGGAGGAAGGCAGCACCUCUCCCCAAUGAACGCCGCUCUUAGCCCCCGGACCGAAGCCCCACAGAGCCGAGCAAGAGUGGGAGGAGGAGAGGGAGAAAGAAGAGAGAGGCGCGCUGGGAAAACCUGGAUCUGGAUUCACUGGAGUUGCGAGCUCCACCUACAGCUUGGCGCCCUCGAGUGAGCCGGGGAAGGGGUGAGGAGGUAAAAACCGGUAGUGACCCUUAUGAAUAAAUAUUUGCAAAAGUAUUUUCAGUAUUUCAGCUAAAAUAAUUGUGAACAACUUUUAGCUAUUGUUCAAGAGUAAUAUUGCUCUAUAUUUCUUAUUAGAGCCAGAUCUUAUCCCUCUUUGGGUAUUAAUGUUAUAUUGGCCUCUUUCCAAAUUUCUGACAUCUUAUCUCCUUACAGGUUAAAAUUUAUUGUGUUUUAUAAUGGUUGUAAAAGUUCAUCCUCAAAACAUUUAUAAUACAAACCCGUUAAUCCAUCCAGGCACCUUUCUUGGUUUAUUCUUUUUCAUAGCUUCCAAAAUUGUCCUUAUUGUUAUAGGUUCAUUCAUAAUUUGUCUUUAUUUUUCUGUAAUCCAUGGUAAAUUUUAUUUUCUAAGGUAUUCAUCUAUUUUCUCCAAAGAAAUAUUAUGUCCUUUAUAUAAACUAGAAUAUUGAUGUAACACAUUUUGCAAAGCCAUAUUGUCAUAACAGUAUCUGUUAUCUUGACGUUUCAAUAUAGUUUCAUUUUUCUUUCUUUUCUUAGUUUUAAUGAUCUUAGUUUAAAUGCCAGUCAGUUCCCUGAUUUACUCACAAAUUCAAAAUUGUUGUGGUUUUUUUUUGCUUUAUACAGUUUAAUGUUUUUCCAUGUUUCUUACUGUUAACAUAGAUAGCUGUUGCUGUGAAAGCUUAAUUUGUUGAGAGAUAUACUUAUCUUCUCUGGAAAUGUCUAUACUUAUACUUUUCUUUUUAUCUGCAGUCCUUUCCCACAGAGAGGGUCUCCUCAGGGUGCCAUCAGCCAAGUUAUGUCGGCUGGCGACACCCAGGGGGAGGGCCUUCUCUGUGGGAGCCCCAGCCCUGUGGAACGAACUGCCCCCGGAAAUUCGUAAGAUCUCCGACCUCCGGGUGUUUCGCUGCGCAUUGAAGACCCUGUUGUGCCGCCAGGCCGGACUAUCAACACAAUAGUUUUAAAUUGGGGUAUUUAAAUUUUUUGGGGUUUUAAAUCUGAGCCAAUUUAUUUAAUUAUUUUAAAUUUUAUAUUGUUGUUUUGUCUGUGUUUUUAAAUAGGCUGUACACCGCCCUGAGUCCUUCGGGAGAAGGGCGGUAUAGAAAUAUUAUUAUUAUUAUUAUUAUUAUUAUUAUUAUUAUUAUUAUUAUUAUUAUUAUCAUCAUCUCAUACUUUCAUACUUUCUCUUGCUUCUUCUUAAGUUUGGUAUUAUGUUAUAUUAAAUAACCUCUAAUAAAAGCAUUACUUGCAUCCUAAAUAAUUCUUAAGUUGGUGCCUUUAUUUGAAUUAGUUUCAAAAAAUAUUUAAAUGUCUUUUUGCAGCCUUCCAUUAUGGCUUGUUUCUGUAACUUUUCAUUUAAUAACUAUCUAAAAGAACUAGAAAUCUUCAAGGUAAUUUAUCUUGAUUUUAAUAUUUUUCUCAGAAGUUCUGUCCAGUUGGUAGGGGGGUCACUCCAUUCCAAUCCUGCAUCAAACAGUUUCCAUUAGUGAAAUCCUCUUUUGAAGAGCAUUUACUCCAUUUAUAUUCCAUGUUCCAUUUGUAAUCUAUGAUCAGGCCAAAAAUUUAGAAAAGUCAAUACAUGCAGUGCCUAAUUCAGUACCAUGUCUUUCAAAUUCUUGUUGCAUCUGUUGUAAUUUUCGUGUAAUUUCUUCUAACACUUCCAUUUGGAUCUCUUCCAGUUCUCCUUUAAAUCUUCUAGGAACUCUCUUACCUUCUAAACAGAAUUCAGUCAAAAUCUCUGUUGUUUAAGAAUAAACAAUCAUACCUUCCAAUUUGUCCCAUCACAAUGGGAUCUUUAUCUGCUUUAAUGUUUCAGACAAAAAAUAUUACUUUUUUCUCUCGCAUAAAAUUCUGAUAGGAAUUAUUUUUAAAGAAAUUAUAUCUCUACUCUAAAUUUUAAAUCUUAUAUUAAAAAGCUGCUGUAAAAUUGUUUUAUUAAAGAUCAGGAAAUACAGUUAGAAACCAAAAACUGGGAAAAGGUUAUUAUAUAUAUUGUCAUAUGAUGGAAUUUAUUUUAGUUACUAUGUACAAGUAAAUAUUAGAUGUUAAAAUUAUUAUUAUUAUGUAUGUUUAAAAAGUAAAAACUAAGAGAUGAUGGACAGGCUUACUAAGAUAGAUAAGCAAAUACUAUUAUGUGAUCACCAUCAAUGUUAUGAAUAUGAAUAUUAAUAUUAUUACUAUUAUUUCUUAAAAUGAACUGUACCCAGACAAUACACUGAUCAUGUAGAUACUGAUGUUAAAUAAAAAAAACCUUGAAAAAUAAA